rnacentral:lncRNA from 1 species
CUUCUUCAAGACAAAAUAAUCACUGACUCAACAACUGAAUGCGUGAAUUGCUAGAGUAUGGUCUCCACAUGCCAGAAACACGACCCAUGUCUUGUGAACUGUAUCUCAGAACCUAAACCCAUGUCUCGUGACCUGCAUCCCAGAACCUAAACCCAUGUCUCGUGACCUGCAUCCCAGAACCAAGACCAAUGUCUCAUGACCUGCAUCCCAGAACCAAGACCCAUGUCUUGUGAACUGUAUUUCAGAACCUAAACCCAGGUCUUGUGACCUGCAUCCCAGAACCAAGACCAAUGUCUCGUAACCUGCAUCCCAGAACCAAGACCAAUGUAUCGUGACCUGCAUCCCAGAACCAAGACCAAUGUCUUGUGAACUGUAUUUCAGAACCUAACCCCAUGUCUCAUGACCUGCAUCCCAGAACCAAGACCCCUGUCUUGUGAACUGUAUUUCAGAACCUAAACCCAUGUCUCGUGACCUGCAUCCCAGAACCAAGACCAAUAUCUCAUGACCUGCAUCCCAGAACCAAGACCCAUGUCUUGUGAACUGUAUUUCAGAACCUAAACCCAGGUCUUGCGACCUGCAUCCCAGAACCAAGACCAAUGUCUCGUGACCUGCAUCCCAGAACCAAGACCAAUGUAUCGUGACCUGCAUCCCAGAACCAAGACCCAUGUCUUGUGAACUGUAUUUCAGAACCUAACCCCAUGUCUCAUGACCUGCAUCCCAGAACCAAGACCCCUGUCUUGUGAACUGUAUUUCAGAACCUUAACCCAUGUCUCGUGUCCUGCAUCCCAGAACCAAGACCCAUGUUUUGUGACCUGCAUCCCAAAACCAAGACCCAUGUUCUGUGACCUGCAUCCUAGAACCAAGACCCAUUUUUCGUGACCUGCAUCCAAGAACCAAGACCCAUAUCUCGCGACUAUCAUGAUACCAUAUGGAUCUUCAUGCAUCUAACAUAAUAAUGUGUUAUUUACACCAACCCUAAAGUUUACAUGUCAUUAAGAAACAAAGUGCUUAUGAAUAUGACAACUGUAUACCAGUGUGGAUAUUUUUAACACAAAUUAUUCCUGCUUUGAACUAAAUUAAUAAAGGAGGGAAGGGGUGUAGUUAUAAGUAUCUCCUUAUUGUGUGUGCACAACUCUGUGUAUUAUUUUUCUGUAUUUUACUCAGCUCUACCUGUUGUAUGGGUAUCUCUGUAGAACACACAGCUCUGUGUAUUGUGUACGUAUUUUUGUGUUGUGCCCAGUUCUGUGUGUUAUAUCGAUAUUUUUCUCAGCUCUGUUUGUGGUGUAGUUAUCUCUGUAUUGUACUGAAUUCUAUGUAUUUUACAGAUAUAUUUAUGUUAUGCUGAGCUUGUUUUAUUGUAUGAGCAUCUCUGCUCAUGCUCAGCUCUCUGUAUUAAAUGAGUAUCUCUGUACUGUAUAGUGCGGAGUAACAUUUGUGUGUAAGUGUGUGUGCGUAUUUAUAUUUAAAUUAGAAGUAAAAAAGAAUGAGUGAAUUAAAAGAAAAAGAGUAAUAAAGUGGGAGAAAAUAUAUGAGUUAAAAGACAGCUUAAAA